AUCGCUUCUCGGCCUUUUGGCUAAGAUCAAAGUGUAGUAUCUGUUCUUAUCAGCUUAAUAUCUGAUACGGGUCCUAUUUGGACCCAAGAUAUUAAACUCAUUUUUGGAAUUGGGCGGAGUGCUUGAAGCUUGCUUCACCUCGCCACGGGGGGUUGAUAAAUAAAU
rnacentral:snRNA from 1 species